AUGAAGGUGCUGCAUGGUUGUCGUCAGCUCGUGCCGUGAGGUGUCGGCUUAAGUGCCAUAACGAGCGCAACCCUUUCUGCCAGUUACUAACAGGCAAUGCUGAGGACUCUGGCGGUACUGCCAUCGUAAGAUGUGAGGAAGGUGGGGAUGACGUCAAAUCAGCACGGCCCUUACGUCCGGGGCUACACACGUGUUACAAUGGGGGGUACAGAAGGCCGCUUGCCGGCGACGGCUGGCCAAUCCUCAAAUCCCCUCUCAGUUCGGACUGGAGUCUGCAACCCGACUCCACGAAGCUGGAUUCGCUAGUAAUCGCGCAUCAGCCACGGCGCGGUGAAUACGUUCCCGGGCCUUGUACACACCGCCCGUCAAGCCAUGAAAGCCGGGAGUACCUGAAGUGCGUAACCGCGAGGAGCGCCCUAGGGUAACACUGGUAAUUGGGGCUAAGUCGUAACAAGGUAGCCGUACCGGAAGGUGCGGCUGGAACACCUCCUUUCUGGAG
rnacentral:rRNA from 1 species